GACGAACGCUGGCGGCGUGCUUAACACAUGCAAGUCGAACGGAAAGGCCCUGCUUUUGUGGGGUGCUCGAGUGGCGAACGGGUGAGUAACACGUGAGUAACCUGCCCUUGACUUUGGGAUAACUUCAGGAAACUGGGGCUAAUACCGGAUAGGAGCUCCUGCUGCAUGUUGGGGGUUGGAAAGUUUCGGCGGUUGGGGAUGGACUCGCGGCUUAUGCGCUUGUUGGUGGGGUAGUGGCUUACCAAGGCUUUGACGGGUAGCCGGCCUGAGAGGGUGACCGGCCACAUUGGGACUGAGAUACGGCCCAGACUCCUACGGGAGGCAGCAGGGGGGAAUAUUGCACAAUGGGCGGAAGCCUGAUGCAGCAACGCCGCGUGCGGGAUGACGGCCUUCGGGUUGUAAACCGCUUUCGCCUGUGACGAAGCGUGAGUGACGGUAAUGGGUAAAGAAGCACCGGCUAACUACGUG
rnacentral:rRNA from 1 species